rnacentral:rRNA from 1 species
GGAUGCGAUCAUAAUAGCACUAAAGCACCGGAUCCCAUCAGAACUCCGAAGUUAAGGUGCUUGGGCGAGAGUAGUACUAGGAUAGGUGACCUCCUGGGAAGUCCAACACAAGAAUCACGCAUUUU